rnacentral:rRNA from 1 species
CCUACGGGUGGCAGCAGUGGGGAAUAUUGCACAAUGGGCGCAAGCCUGAUGCAGCCAUGCCGCGUGUGUGAAGAAGGCCUUCGGGUUGUAAAGCACUUUCAGCGGGGAGGAAGGCGUUAAGGUUAAUAACCUUGGCGAUUGACGUUACCCGCAGAAGAAGCACCGGCUAACUCCGUGCCAGCAGCCGCGGUAAUACGGAGGGUGCAAGCGUUAAUCGGAAUUACUGGGCGUAAAGCGCACGCAGGCGGUCUGUCAAGUCGGAUGUGAAAUCCCCGGGCUCGACCUGGGAACUGCAUUCGAAACUGGCAGGCUAGAGUCUUGUAGAGGGGGGUAGAAUUCCAGGUGUAGCGGUGAAAUGCGUAGAGAUCUGGAGGAAUACCGGUGGCGAAGGCGGCCCCCUGGACAAAGACUGACGCUCAGGUGCGAAAGCGUGGGGAGCAAACAGGAUUAGAUACCCCUGUAGUC